rnacentral:rRNA from 1 species
UACGUAGGGUGCAAGCGUUAAUCGGAAUUACUGGGCGUAAAGCGUGCGCAGGCGGUUAUGUAAGACAGAUGUGAAAUGCCCGGGCUUAACCUGGGAACUGCAUUUGUGACUGCAUGGCUAGAGUUUGGCAGAGGGGGGUAGAAUUCCACGUGUAGCAGUGAAAUGCGUAGAGAUGUGGAGGAAUACCGAUGGCGAAGGCAGCCCCCUGGGCCAAUACUGACGCUCAUGCACGAAAGCGUGGGGAGCAAACAGG